rnacentral:rRNA from 1 species
ACUCCUACGGGAGGCAGCAGUGGGGAAUAUUGCACAAUGGGGGAAACCCGUACGAUGCAGCCAUGCCGCGUGUGUGAAGAAGGCCUCGGUUGUAAAGCACUUCUAGUAGGAGGAAGGUAGUGUAGUUAACACCUGCAUUAUUUGUACGUUACCUACAGAAGAAGCACCGGCUAACUCCGUGCCAGCAGCCGCGGUAAGUACGGAGGGUGCGAGCGUUAAUCGGAAUUACUGGGCGUAAAGCGCAUGCAGGCGGCCUGUUAAGUUCAGAUGUGAAAGCCCGGGGUCGUUAACCUCGGAAUUGCAUUUGAAACUGGCGAGGCUAGAGUCUUGUAGAGGGGUUAGGAAUUUCAGGUGUAGCGGUGAAAUGCGUAGAGAUCUGAAGG